rnacentral:misc_RNA from 1 species
CUGCUGAACAGGAUGGAAAUCCAUGCUCAUAGGAGAUGAUCCCUGAUUCAAAGUCCGAGCAAGAGUCUUUGGCAAGUCAUCUGGCGCAUUAAAAGUCUGACCAUGACCGUGUCCUGGAAAUGAUACUGGCAACACAUUAACUGGCAAAUUGACCUCAUCAGAAAUUCCCAUGGGCCUUGUUCGUUUUGCAACAUGAUCGGAAUCUCCAGAUGGAUAAUCAACAGAAGGAUUAGUUGGAGGAGUCCUUGGAUGCUUCAGAGCAGCUGGGAUUGAUGGAGCACCAAGGCCAAUGGCUCCUCCUCCAGAAACAGCUGGAUGAGUUACAGUGGAAGGAUUAGACAUCCAACCAGCAAGAGGUGCUGGAACAGGUGCUGGUGUAUGCUGGAAUGGCCCAUGAGCACCAAGGGGAGGAAACCCUCCAGGUUU